rnacentral:tRNA from 1 species
GGUCAGGUAGCCUAGUGGUUAAGGUAGCCCAUGUGUGUUGGGUCUGGAUCCAUUGGAUCUGGUCACUGGUUCAAAUCCAGCCCUGACCA